GACAACACCUCCCUGCCGCGCGUGCGCACACGCCGCGCCCGGAACCCCUCCGCCCUCUUGGCUCCGCCGUGAGGAGCUGGGCGCGGUGCCGGCGCUCAGCCCGUCUCCCGGAAGGCCCUAGAGUAACACAUGGAGGACAUUAGAAGACUCUCCUUUCAGUUAAACUGGUAAAAGAUCACUGGGAUGGUUUUAAAGAGACCAGAUUAUCCCACUGAUGUCCUCAUCAAGAUUUGUCAAGAACUGGUGGACACAAUUGUUCGGUGGACACUAUCUCAAAAUUACAAUCCACUGGCCUAUUUUUUCCUAGAAGCUUACCCUGCGGGAGGGUGAAACAGCUGGAUCAAAUUUCUGAACUUCCUUCAUGUGAUUUUAUGCUUGCGGCUUCAACAGGAUUCACAGUUACAUGACUUCCAAAACAUUUAGACAGAAAUAAGCAGAUGUCUACACUUUCCUGAAAUUCCAUAUUAGUCAGCUAUCUUUGGGCAGUAUCGGGAUUACGGUAUUAUUCCAGCAUACAGUUCAAUUUGAAGACUCAUAGCAUAGAUGAAAAAUCUAAGAGUCCUUUUUUACACACUGUUUGUUUAAGAUGGACACACUGUUGUUAAUUUGGAGAAAAGACUAGUAACUUCCUAGGCAGUGUGUCAUUACUUACAUGAAUAACAGCUGCUACUGAAACAAUUACUCAGAUAUAGUGUGGGGUUUUUUUAGUGUGUAUUGAAAAAGUAUUAGAAAUUCUGCAAUAACAUUACCUGCUUUGAUAAAAUAGUCAUAUAAGCAAUGUCAUUUUUAUGUUAAAGUAGCAAGCUUUUCAAUUUGAAAGUAAUUUUUAAAACCAGAUUUAACCCUUUUAAUAACUUAUUUAUUUGAGAAUUCCUCCUCUUCUCCUCCCUCCCCCCCCCCAUAACAUGAAAUCAACUGGUAAUCAUGCAGUAAGAAAUUUCUGAUAUAGGUAUUUAUUUCUGCCAAUAUAAAAUGAAAGUGUAAAUAACCAGUUCAUGUUAAAUUGUUUUAAGUAGAAGAUGAUGAUGAUAUUUUAAUCUUCACAGAAAUAAAGGAGGUUUAGCUUCCUGGGAA